AUGUCGACAGGGAAUGGGGAUAUCCAUGGGGAAUGGCCAUGGGGAAUGAGGAAUGUCGACAGGGAAUGGGGAUAUCCAUGGGGAAUGGCCGUGGGGAAUGAGGAAUGUCGACAGGGAAUGGGGAUAUCCAUGGGGAAUGUCCAUGGGGAACGGGGAGUGCUGGUACGAAAUGCGGAGUAUCCGUGGGGAACGCGGACAAAGCCCAGGGAAUGCGGCCGCUCUCCGGCCUCCGUCGGCAGCAGCCAUCACCCAUUCCCAUCCCAUUCCCAUUCCCUUCCCCAUUAUUCCCAUUCCCAUUAUUCCCACUAUUCCCAUUUUUCCCAUCCCCAUUCCCAUUUUUCCAUCCCCAUUCCCAUUACUACCAUUCCCAUUAUUCCCACUAUUUCCAUCAUCAUUCCCAUUCCCAUUCCCAUUAUCCCAUUAUCCCAUUAUCCCAUUAUCCCAUUAUCCCAUUAUCCCAUUAUCCCAUUCCAAUUCUCAUCCCAUUCCCAUUCGAAUUCCAUUCCCAUUCCCAUCCCCCUUAUUCCCAUCCCAUUAUUCCCAUUACUCCCAUUAUUUCCACCCCCAUUCCCAUUCCCAUCCUAUCCCCAUUAUCCCAUUAUCCCAUUCCCAUCACAUUGCCAUCUUAUCCCAAUUCCGAUUCCCGAUUCUGAUUCCAAUUCCUGUUCCCAUCCCCAUCCCCAUCCCCAUUAUCCCAUUCCCAUUAAUCCCAUUUUUCCCAUUACUCUCCAUUCCCAUCCUCAUUUCCAUCUUAUCCUAAUUCCCAUCCCCAUUUUCCCCAUUCCCAUUCCCAUUUCCAUUCCCAUUAUUCCAUUAUUCCCAUCUCCAUUCCCGUCCUCAUUCCCAUCUUAUCCCAAUUCCCAUUACCAUUUUUCCCAUUCCCAUUAUUCCCAACCCCAUUCCCAUCUUCAUCCCCAUUCCCAUCCCCAUUAUUUCCAUUCCCACUCUUCCCAUCCCAUUAUCCCAUUAUCCCAUAUCCCAUUAUCCCAUUAUCCCAUUAUCCCAUAUCCCAUAUCCCAUUAUCCCAUUAUCCCAUAUCCCAUCCCCAUCCCAUUAUUCCCAUUAUUCCCAUUAUUCCCAUUAUUCCCAUUAUUCCCAUUAUUCCCAUCAUUCCCACUAUCCCCACCCCAUUCCCAUCAUUCCCAUCAUUCCCACCCCACCAUUCCUGCCAUUCCCAUAUUCCCAGCAUCAUUCCCACCCCGCCAUUCCCGUUAUUCCCGUUGCCAUUCCCGCCGCCAUUNNNNNNNNNNNNNNNNNNNNUGCCAUUCCCGUUGCCAUUCCCGUCAUUCCCGUUGCCAUUCCCGUCAUUCCCGUUGCCAUUCCCGUCAUUCCCGUCAUUCCCGCCGCCAUUCCCAUUAUUCCCGUCAUUCCCGUUGCCAUUCCCGCCAUUCCCAUUGCCAUUCCUGCCGCCAUUCCCAUUAUUCCCAUCAUUCUCAUCAUUUCCUGUUGCCAUUCCCGCCGCCAUUCCCGUUAUUCACGUCAUUCCCACCCCGCCAUUCCCGUCAUUCCUGCCGCCAUUCCCGUUAUUCACGUCAUUCCCACCCCGUCAUUCCCGUCAUUCCCGCUGCCGUUCCCAUCAUUCCCGUUGCCAUUCCUGUCAUUCCCGCCGCCAUUCCCGUCAUUCCCGUUGCCAUUCCCGCCAUUCCCGCCGUCAUUCCUGUUGCCAUUCCCGUCAUUCCCGCCGCCAUUCCCGUUGCCAUUCCCGUCAUUCCCGUUGCCAUUCCCGCCAUCAUUCCCGUUGCCAUUCCCGUCAUUCCCGUUGCCAUUCCCGUUGCCAUUCCCGUUAUUCCCGUUGCCAUUCCCGCCGCCAUUCCCAUCAUUCCCAUCAUUCCCGCCGCCAUUCCCAUUAUUCCCGUCAUUCCCACCCCGCCAUUCCCGUCAUUCCCGUUACCAUUCCCAUAA
rnacentral:lncRNA from 1 species